ensembl:lncRNA
CGCUCCGGCUGCGCUGCCCGCGGCCGAGGUGCGCGCUGUAUGCCGGUGGGGCAUCGCUCCCAGCUGGGGUUGUUCCCGCUGCGGGGGUCCUGCGCGCCCCGCGGUUGGAGGUCCCGCUCCCACGGCUUGAGCGCAAGUGCUGUGGGCUGCGGCUGAGGGAGAUGGGAUGGUUCGGUGUGGGGAGGAGGAGGUUAGGGGGAGAGCGCGUUGUUCUCUACGCUCUCUGAAAGGAGAGUGGUGAAGUGGGGAUUGGGUCUUUUUUCUCAGGUAGCGAUGAAAGAAUGAGAGGGAACGGCCUCGAGUUGUGCCAGGGAAAGUUCAGGUUGGACGUUAGGAAAAAUUCUUCUCUAGAAGUGGUGAUGCAUUACAACGAGCUGCCCAGGGAGGGGAUGGGGUCACUGGUCCUGGAGGCAUUCAAGAACUGUGUAGAUGUGGCACUGAGGGAUGUGGUCAGUGGGCAGCAUUGGUGGCAGGUGGAUGGUUGGACUAGAGGGUCUUAGUGUUUUUUUCCAACCUUACUGAUUCAAUGACUCAUGUGGGCUUUUCUCUCUUACCAGUGGGAAGCAAGGAGGAAGGAUGCUUAGAAGAAAGGCUGAUGGCCUGUUCUCACUGGCAAUGGGGGAAAGGGUGAGGCAGGACUGGGAAGGAUAAAGCUAUCACUGCCGGCUGGGAGCCAAGCAGACAGGCUGAAGUUUCGUGAGCAGCACUGCACCGACAGACAGAUGUCAUGCCCAGGCUGGCCUGCUGUAUCUAUUCCGGGUUUUGCAGCAGGGCAGAGGCCCGGGGCUGUGCAGCCGGCAGGUGGCAGCAGCUCGUUUCCAGCGGGGCCGGAUGGAUCCCGGUGCGGGGCUGCGGGCACUGAGAUCGGUGGAAUUACUUUCCAGUUUACUGCAGUGGACAAAGUGCGUGGCAAAGACGUGUUUCCUUUUUACACGCUGUGCUGGUUUUGGUUGGAUUACAGCUGUGACCUCAAUCUCUGUACACAAAGUUACUUUCAGGAAGAUUCAGAGGACCUCAGCAUUUCAUGCUGACAACAGGAUGGGAUGGAACAGAGCAGCCCCACGCUCACCAUGGAGGAGGAAAUGGGACCAGUGCUGCACAUUUUCCAGUUUCUGGCAGUCCCCUCUCAGGAGAGGUGCCCCCAGAAAGCAGAUAGCGUGUGCUGUUUCUUAUGGCAGUGAAGUGAAAAACUUGUUAUGGAUACAGGAGUUCAUUUUGAGAUGUGAAAGACUGCUGGCUGUGUAGCAGCACUGCUUCCUUCCUGGUAGAGGAGUCCUGUCCCAUUGACUCAAGAUGAAAUGAUGACCGUUCCCCAUCACAGUAGAACACUUCUAUGACGUUGCAGUACAACCAGAAUGGUAAGAUAAAGAAUACUGAUUGCAAUUCUGCAUUUUAAAUCCUACGGAUUUAUCUAACCUUUGCAUAACUAUCAAGUCUUCUAAGAUUCCAAAGCAGUGAACAGCGUCAGUACAGAGAAGUUAAGGAAUAUAACUCAGGUGAUACAACCUGACUUCUCAUUGUGUAGCUGUUAGUGUUAAAGUUCCUGGGAAUGUCCACAUUUGUCUCUUGUUUGCUUUCAGAAGUGAUGUCAGUUAUAAGCAAAGUUGCAUCAUUCUUCUAUAUGUCCAGAUACUUGUUAGCACUUGUACAAAUUCAGGUGUUGAAGUAGUACAAAUUCAGUGUGUGGAAGGAGUUGAUCAGUUUUUUUUUCCACAAUGUCCCACUCCUUUUAUAAAAGUUUGCCAAGCCAAGAAGAAUAGUUUAAUAGUUACCUAAGAACCAAACUUGACAAACCAGGUCAUUCCAUACAAGUAGCUGUGGUAAUAAGCUCCAGAAUCUAAAUAUAUAAAAACAUCAAACUUCAAAUUUCAGAGCUCCUUGAAGAAAAGAGCUCUAGAUUUCUCCAGAAGAGCAGGUGUGUAUUCCUUAGUCAAGUUAAUAUGAAGUGCAGUAAGCACCAGGCAGUAGUGACCUUUUUUCUGUUUGCCUUAUUGUGUACAGGAAUUCACACAAAAUGAAAUGAGCUGGGCAGGUUGUUUGGGUGGUCUUAGAUCUAAAAUCUGAGCUCGGACCACAAGAUCAUGUGUACAGAAACACUGUCAAUUCUUUGCAUUCUGACCAACAAGUUAAAAAAAUUGCUUAGGAUAGGAGACUAAAUGCCACAAAAGAUAUUAGUUCAAUUUCUCAUUCUCCUUAUGAUAUUAUUUUUGUAUUGAUAAAUUAUUUUUCUUUGAAAACAUAAAAAGAGCUGAAUUGUGGUUAAAAGAGUUUAAUUUUGAAUAAGCUGCAAAAAGUACUGGAAUAUGGCGUAGCAGACUGAAAGAUUUAUUUUCUUUACCAUACGCUUGUGACAGCAACAAAAAUUUGUUUCAAAUUAUUCUUGGUCGUAAACCUUUCUCUUGCUGCUCAAAAGUUCAUCAUUCUACAUGGAAGCACCAUAAAAGUGCUAGCAAAAGUGCCAUAUUAACAGGAUUGCAGUUUUCAGUGUUAAGUCAUAGCAGCAAAAUGGGCGUAUGCAAAAUUUCUCUGUAGAUGGGUUUGCAGUUGUUUGUUAUGUGAUGAUGAACGAAGGUCUGAGCUUGAAUUCCAGUUCCAGACCCAGAGUACAAUGAACAGCAUGAACUGACUGCUAGAACUGUUGGUGCUAUCACUGCUUGCUGUGUAAAAGUAGCAAAAAACUUUAGCUAGGAUCAAUAUACUAUAAUAAUCUUUACAGUCACAGAGGGAAGUUGGUUCUGUGCUUAGAAGAACUUUGUCUCUAUUUACCUUUCUGUUUAUUGACAUUAUUCUGUGUCAAAGUUUAGUCAAAUCAAUAUUAGUCAUUGUGAAAAGUCCACAAAUGAGAGCAGUGCAGAUGCAGCUGUGUUCGCUCAGCCUUUGUGCAUGCUGCUCCAAAAUUGUAGGUUUUCAGAAGUGUGAUCAAAGGUAAUUUUUAUCUGCCUGGGUGUUACUGUUUUUUAAUGGUGAGUAAAUAAGAAGGAAACACAAGAGAAAACGCUGUUUGUUUUAGUAACACGUUAUAUACAAAAAUGGAAUGUAGGAGUAGACUUAGUUUAGGGUGAAGUGACAAUUUCUGUGAACACACUGGGGGAAUUUAAAUGCCUACCACAAAAUAGCUUGUGUGUUUGAAGGGCUUCUGCUAUGCUGUUUGAUAAUGACCUUCAUGGAAGCUGGGGGGAAGGUUAAAAGCUCACAGAAUAAAAUUGGGUGCCUAAAUUGGGAGUUGUAGCCACAGAUGCAGUCUCAGAAAACAUUUCCCAAGUUAGUAAUGGAAACACUAAGUUGCCUCAUUAUUAUCUGAUAAGUGCUUCAUAAAACGUGGCUGAAGUAUUUAGUUUAAUGAUACACAAAGCCAGAAAAUGAAAGUGCUAUCUAAAAUUAAAUACAGUGUAUAGAGGAAAUUGCAGUUGCUCAGAAAUAAGAAAUUUAGAAGGGAUAACUGUGUAACCAUAGAGGUGGUAGGAACAAGAAUCUAGUGUUUGUGCAGAGCUGACCAUGGGGGAUGAAAUGGUCUGUCACUGCUACAUGAACAUGAAAUUCGUCUGAUGAGUGUACUCCCUGGUUGGAGUGACUGUACUUACAUUCCCUUCCAUACAGCUCACUAGAAGCCAAGAAAGGAGAGAAGAAAUGGAUCCUUCUGUAAGUCUUUUUGGAGCUGCUUUUGCCUUGGUGGCCAGGAAGCAAAUGAGCAGCACUGACUAUAUUUAAUUAGGGUAUUAGACUUCCAGUAACAUUUUGUUUAUACUUAAAAGCAGUAGAGUAAUUGACUGUUAAAAACAUAUAUCUGUAAAAGGUACAGGAAUAAAUGUUUUUAAAGAUGAAUAAUCUAUUAUAUUAGAUAGUCCUGGGUGUUGGAGAAAAUCAGAUAAGCGUGCAGGUCAGGUCUUGUUCAGUUAUAACCUUAAACCAUUCUGACUUGAACCACACUAUUCUUACGAAGUGCAGUUAUGUCUUGAACACUUGAUCUCUUCUUUUCCAUUUCAUGUGGCUGUCACGAGUGAUCGUACUGCAUAUGCUUUUCUAGGAAUGUAUUCUGGGAAGAAACAACAGAAAGGCUGGGAGUUGUAUAUUGAACUUCAUGUCUUUGUCCUUGCUGUGAAGACAGACCUUCCACAUUGAGUGAAGAUGCCUGU